AUCCAACUGACGAGUCCGAAAUAGGACGAAACGUGCGUCAAAACUAGAU
rnacentral:hammerhead_ribozyme from 1 species